CCUACGGGAGGCAGCAGUGAGGAAUAUUGGGCAAUGGGCGAAAGUCUGAAGCAGCCAAGCAGCGUGAAGGAUGAAGGCUCUAGGGGUUGUAAACUUCUUUUAUAAAGGAAUAAAACGAGGCACGUGCGCCUUUUUGCAUGUACUUUAUGAAUAAGGAUCGGCUAACUCCGUGCCAGCAGCCGCGGUAAUACGGAGGAUCCGAGCGUUAUCCGGAUUUAUUGGGUUUAAAGGGAGCGUAGAUGGGGUGUUAAGUCCGUUGUGAAAGGUUGCGGCUCAACCGCAAGAUUGCAAUUGAUACUGGCUGUCUUGAGUACAGUUGAGGUAAGGGGAAUUCGUGGUGUAGCGGUGAAAUGCUUAGAUAUCACGAAGAACCCCGAUUGCGAAGGCAGCUUACUGGACUGUAACUGACGUUGAGGCUCGAAAGUGUGGGUAUCAAACAGGAUUAGAUACCCUUGUAGUC
rnacentral:rRNA from 1 species